CUGUGUCCCCAGGCUUCGGCCCGGCCGCCGCCGCACAUAAACUGCGAGGAGGAGCUUUACGACUUCUCGGUCUUCGGGGCCGGGCGCAGCAAGGGCCAGACUCUGCGCUAGCAGGCGCUGCGCGCCAACCGGCCGGCCCCUGUCGCAGAAGGUGCAACCGAUCGCACUGUCGCGCAGAAGCUCCUCAAUGGCCAGCGCCAGCUGCAGCCCCGGCUGCCCACUCGCCUCACCUGAGCCUGGGUGGAACAAUCCAAAGUUUUAAUCAAAGAAGGUGGUAUUCAGUUGCUGCUUACAAUAGUUGAUACCCCAGGAUUUGGAGAUGCAGUGGAUAAUAGUAAUUGCUGGCAGCCUGUUAUCAAUUACAUUGAUAGUAAAUUUGAGGACUACCUAAAUGCAGAAUCGCAAGUGAACAGAUGUCAGAUGCCUGGUAACAGGGUGCACUGUUGUUUAUACUUCAUUGCUCCUUCAGGACAUGGACCGUUACAUAACUGAAGACUCCCACCUUCAGGCAGGAUUGGGUAGUACAUGUUUGUAACUACCUGGCAUUGCCUUUUGUUGAGACUUAAACCAUUGGAUAUUGAGUUUACAAAGCAUUUGCAUGAAAAAGUGAAUAUCAUCCCACUUAUUGCCAAAGCAGACACACUCAUGCCAGAGGAAUGCCAACAGUUUAAAAAACAGAUAAAGAAAUCCAAGAACAUAAAGUUAAAAUAUAUGAAUUUCCAGAAACAGAUGAUGAAGAAGAAAAAAAACUUGUUAAAAAGAUAAAGGACCAUUUACCUCUUGCUGUGGUGGGUAGUAAUACUAUCAUUGAAGUUAAUGGCAAAAGGGUCAUAGGAAGGCAGUAUCCUUGGAGUGUUGCUGAAGAUGGAGUCUCGCUCUGUCACCCAGGCUGGAAUGCAGUGGCAUGAUCUUGGCUCACUGCAACCUCCGCCUCCCGAGUUCAAGAGAUUCUUCUGCCUCAGCCUCCCAAGUAGCUGGGACUAAAGUUGAAAAUGGUGAACAUUGUGAUUUUACAGUUUUAAGAAAUAUGUUGAUAAGAACACACGCAGGACUUGAAAGAUGUUACUAAUAAUGUCCACUACGAGAACUAUGGAAUCAGAAAACUGGCAGCUGUGACUUAUCAUGGAGUUGAUAACAAGAAGAAUAAAGGGCAGCUCACUAAGAGCCCUCUGGCACAAAUGGAAGAAGAAAGAAGGGAGCAAGUAGCUAAAAUUAAGAAGAUGGAGAUGGAGAUGGAGCAGGUGUUUGAGAUGAAGGUCAAAGAAAAAGUUCAAAAACUGAAGGACUCUGAAGCUGAGGUAAUCAGUCCAAUAUUCCAUCUCUUAGCAGACAUUGUGUUCCUUUUUAAAUAGUAUCUUCAGUAAAAUUUAUAGAUAAUAUAACCUUCUUAUACAUAUUUUUUAAAAAUUAAUACCCUAGCAUAACAAAAUGGAGAAAUUUCUACAAGCAAGCACUGUUUACAAUAAAAUAAUAUAGACUUCAAUACAUAAGUGCUUGGACAUAGUGUAUUAGGUAUGACAGCAUAAUAGAGUACUUACAAUGAAUUAUUAAAGUUAUAAUGAACAA
rnacentral:lncRNA from 1 species